GGUGGCUCAGGGGUAGAGUGCUUGCCUAGCAUGCAUGAGGCCCUGGGUUCGAUUCCUCAGCACCA
rfam:Dipodomys ordii contig_40798, whole genome shotgun sequence.